rnacentral:sRNA from 1 species
GCAGAAUAUUAAGAAGGGGGUUGUGUGGAAGGAGAUUUGGGAGAAGGGAGACUUCCGAGGAAGAUUAGGCAGAGUGGGCAGGGAGACCAGCUCUCGUGGGGGUGGGAGGCUCCCUUCCUUUUUUGCUCCUGUUCCUCCUUCCCUCUAGCUGGCAGGCCUCUUCUCCUGCAUAGUGGUCCUGUCGGUGCUGCUGUGGCUGGGGCCCUUCUUUUACUAUCUGCCCAAGGUAAGGAGCAGAGGAGGCAUGAGCAUGGCUGGGAGGGGUGGCUGUAUUCCAGGACAUCAAGGUAGUCAGCCCACCUCCUCUGCCUCAAGGCUGUCCUGGCUUGCAUCAACAUCUCCAGCAUGCGCCAGAUGUUCUGCCAGAUGUAGGAACUUCCACAACUAUGGCACAUCAGCCGAGUGGACUUUGUGAGAAAUGCCAUUACCCGCAGAUUGCCGCCUCUCAUCUUGUUAGCAUCCCCAGCCUCUGCCCUGAACCAAACCUAAUCGUCCUGGUCUUAAGCUCUGCAACCCACCCACUCCCCUAACAAACAUAACUCCUAAUACGCUUUACUCACAGGCAAGGGAAAGGAUGGGGUUUGAACCCCUUUGACCUGAAUAUGUGUAACUUCCCAACUGGUGCAGGUCAUUACAUGUGGUGUGUGUCCCAUUGAAUCAACCCUGUUCUUUCCCUCUGUCAUGCUUUCUACUUCUUCCUGGGUCAUCUCUCCCCAUCACUUGCCUUGGUAGUCACUGCCCUGGAUCUCUUUCCCCAGCAGUGAUGGCCUGGGUUUUCUUUUGGGCAAUCCACCCCUAUCCCUGUCCUGCAGGCUGUGUGGAUGGUCACCUGGGUGGCUGUAGUGACCCUGAGUGUGGAUUUGGGCCUGGCUGUGGGUGUGGUCUUCUCCAUGAUGACUGUGGUCUGCCGCACCCGGAGGUGGGCAUAGAGAUGAGUGGAGUUGAGGUCGGGGCAGGGGAAGAGAAUGAGGUGCUUGGGGUGACUCUCCAGCCAGGCCAGGCUAAGCUGGAAAUCUGGCCCCACCUUCUUCCCUAGGGUGCAGUGCCUGGCACUUGGACAGGCUGAGGGGACAGAGCUCUACAGACCACUCAAAGGAAGCCACAAGGUGGGUGGGCUUCCCUUCUCAAAGGAAGGGAAGAUUAGCCCCAGACGUUUCUCUGAUCCUUUGACCUCUUAGCUCCUCCAGGUCCCGGGGCUCUGCAUCCUGAGCUAUCCAACACCACUGUACUUUGGGACCCGUGGGCAGUUUCGCCGCAACCUAGAGUGGCACCUGGGGCUCGGAGAAGGAGAAAAGGAGACUUUAAAGCCAGAUGGCCCAACGGUUGCAGGUGAGAUGGGGUGACAAGAAGGAAGAUUUGGGUAUGUUGCAUGGUGGCACCUGGGUACUCCUGUCUUCUCCCACUCUAGUUGCUGAGCCUGACAGGGUGGUCCUAGACUUCAGUGGUGUCACCUUUGCAGAUGCUGCUGGGGCCAGAGAAGUGGUGCAGCUGGCCAGCCGAUGUCGAGAUGCUAGGAUCGGCCUCCUCCUGGCUCAGGGUAAUGCCUCGGUGCUGGGGACACUGACCCGGGCAGGACUCCUGGACAGGGUGACCCCAGAUCAGCUGUUUGUGAGUGUGCAGGAUGCAGCUGCUUAUGCCCUGGGGAGCCUGGUAAGGGGCAGUAGCACCAGGAGCGGGAGCCGGGAGGCACUGGGCUGCGGCAAGUGAGGCAGAGGAGCUCACUGACCCAAAGAUUUGCACAGUGUGGGUCUGACCUCAUCAUGUGGAGUGCAGAGGGCCCCAAUGACAUGUGUGUGAUGAGGACCAUGACCCUUGAACCCCCUUACCUAACGUGACUAAUAAAAUGAAGCUGAGAGCUUUGGAAUCCA